CGGAAGAAUAUUGCAGCAACGCGACCGCGCGCCGCGCUCCUCGGCCGCCUUGCUCCUACGGGGUUUCCGCGGCCCUGCCGCAGAGGCCGGCGGAGCUGGGGACGCCCGGGCGGAAGCCGGUGGCGCUGUUCGCUGGCGGGCGGCGUCUGCAGGACGCAGCUCCGGGGUACCUGCGCGUCAGCGUGCCGCUGGGCCGGGCCACCGCGUUCCGCGACGGAGCGGAUUCGGGUUACUCCGCUCGUUCUCUCUGCUGCUUAAUGGGUCGGUAAAGGGCUACCUGGCAUUAUUCCCAGCCAUUUAAUACUCAGGUCUGGAACGCGUGAAUCCCCUGCCACGGAAGAUGUCGGCCACCCACCCAGCACAUCCUAGGAAAUCCAGUUCGCAGUUACUUUUUGUAAGACGAGGGGCAAGACGUGUGGUGUCAUUAACAGAGGUCCCUUGAGUGGCGAUUUAUUUCCAUGCCCUUCUGGUUGUCUUUAGUUCUGGUUUAAAAGACAAUGCUAAUAAUUUAAACCUAACAGGUGUGUUACCAACUUUUGCAAAGGGCCUGUCAGUCUUUGUUACACAGAAUUGUAAAUGGGUUCCCCUGGCAGGUUCAGCGCUAGCUCUUAAAAAGUGGAUUCAUUCCCUUCUGAUAAAACAGAACAAAAACUAUUUUAGCCGUCUGAUGUUGCCUUACUGAAAUUGAGAGCAAUAGAGUUCUUUGUGCCCAUAAUGAGCUCGCAUGGCUGCCGAAGCCCAGAGGUUUCUAGUCAACCACAACUCCAGCCCCUUGCUAAAAAUAUAACAUUUAAUCAUUGAAUCUUAGCACAACCCUGUUCUCUGUUCAAGAUAGUAUUGUGAACACUCAUUUUUUCCUCCUUAAUUCACAAGACCAACACCAAAAGGCUGAUUAACGGGGGGGGGGCACAAUUGUCUACUUUACAGAUAAUAUUUGGUUCUAAAAACCAUUCCUUUUAUGAUUACAUUGAUUUGUUUAUUUACUUGUUGUGUGCACCUCAGCGCCUGUGGAAGUCAGAAGACAUCCUUGGGAGUUGGUUCUUCUACCACGCGGAUCCCACAAGUGGGUCCUGGGGAUGGAAUUCAGGUCAUCAGGCCCUGAGACCAGCACCUUUCCCCACUGAUGCACCUCACCAGCCCUGGAUACUAUCCUUAUUCAAAAAUAUUGUUUACUACUGUUGAGUCAGAAACUGUAACAAAAUCAAGAUGACAAAACAGAGACUGGGUGUGGUGCCGGGGCCUUUAACCCCAGCACUAGGGCAGCAGAGGUAUGUGGCUCCUACAAGUCUUUCUCAGCUGUCCCAGGCCCGUGGCUCAGUGGAGAGGUAACUUCUAAGCAUCUGUGGGCCAACGAGAUGGCUCAGUGGAUAAAGGAGCUUGCUGUCAAACCUGAUGACCUGAACUGACCUCCCUAUUAGCCCAGGAUGAUCAUCCUGAUUCAGACUCCUGUGUACCAGGAUUAUAGAUCUCCCAUCUGCUUAAGGGAAUAGCUGCUUAAGUUCGAAUAGCUUCAAACUGUUCCACAUAGAAAGAGCUCAUCUAUUUAAAAAAAAAUGGAAAAA